UUCUCGGAGGUGUGGGCAGCCUCUAACACUUCAACUGAUGGCAAUCUGAGAUUAGCCAAGAAAGAAAGGGAAUUCUACGCCUUUCGGAGCAGGUCAUUGUUCAUCACUCGGGAAGGAGACCUUUCCAAGGUGUAGCUCAGAGGUGGGAAAAGACACAAUAGAAGACAAGUUCAAGGAAGAAGAAGAGCUGUUUCAAGCUUGACACUGCUCAGUGGCCAACGGCCGGUGAAGACAGGAGCCCUGCUUGGCUACAUUAGCCCGGCCCUUCUCUAUGACAGCUUGGAAGACUGGUGGGGAUGAUGCGGGGUGUGGGGUGGGGGUGCAUCAUGAUGGUUCAUUUCAAGGAUACUUCAAGCUCUUGCGUCCCCGUCUUGCCGGACUUUCCUCUCCUCUCUAGCUAUAAAGCGGCAGCCUGCUAUUAAUGAGGUCCCAAAGGGGAAAGAAAUUUCUGUAACUAGGCACUGCUCAGUUCCAUCACUGUUAGGCUGGCCCCACAAAGCCUCUUCUAGCAGAAACUACAAACUCACAGGAACUAUUCCUGCAGGACAAAGGAAGUUCUCUCCGCGGGAAUCCAUUAUGGGGUCUGCUUCCCUUCCCCCAAGUCUUAAGCCCUGAGAUUAUAUUAAAACUUUGUCAUCUCGGAAACACACCUAUGCAUUCAUUCACACAUAGGCAUGGCCGCAUGUCUGCAGGCAUAUGCAUGUAAUCAUGCACUUAGGUAAACUUUUAAAGGGAUUCUACAAGGGAAGUUCUACUUGAGAAUUAGUUCUUCCUAUGGCCUGGUAUAUAAAUGAGAAGGUUAAGUUCACAAA